rnacentral:rRNA from 1 species
AGCAGCCGCGGUAAUUCCAGCUCCAAUAGCGUAUAUUAAAGUUGUUGCAGUUAAAAAGCUCGUAGUUGAAUUUCGGGGUUAGUAGGUUGGUCGUGCCUCAGGUAUGUACUGAUCUCACUGAUUCCUCCUUCCUGAUGAACCGUAAUGCCAUUAAUUUGGUGUUGCGGGGAAACUGGACUGUUACUUUGAAAAAAUUAGAGUGUUUAAAGCAGGCUAACGCUUGAAUACAUUAGCAUGGAAUAAUGAAAUAGGACGUUCGAUCCUAUUUUGUUGGUUUCUAGGAUUGACGUAAUGAUUAAUAGGGAUAGUUGGGGGCAUUAGUAUUCAACUGUCAGAGGUGAAAUUCUUGGAUUUAUUGAAGACUAACUACUGCGAAAGCAUUUGCCAAGGAUGUUUUCAUUAAUCAAGAACGAAAGUUAGGGGAUCGAAGACGAUCAGAUACCGUCGUAG